rnacentral:rRNA from 1 species
UACAGAGGGGGCAAGCGUUGUUCGGAAUUACUGGGCGUAAAGGCGCGUAGGCGGCCUGUUAAGUCGAACGUGAAAUCCCCGGGCUCAACCCGGGAACUGCGUCCGAUACUGGAUGGCUUGAGUUCGGGAGAGGGAUGCGGAAUUCCAGGUGUAGCGGUGAAAUGCGCAGAUAUCAGGAGGAACACCAGCGGCGAAGGCGGCGCUCUGGGCCGGUGACUGA